rnacentral:rRNA from 1 species
GUGGGGAAUAUUGGACAAUGGGCGCAAGCCUGAUCCAGCCAUAUCGCGUGGGUGAAGAAGGCCUUCGGGUUGUAAAGCCCUUUUGUUGGGAAAGAAAUCCUGUCGGUUAAUACCUGGCGGGGAUGACGGUACCCAAAGAAUAAGCACCGGCUAACUUCGUGCCAGCAGCCGCGGUAAUACGAAGGGUGCAAGCGUUACUCGGAAUUACUGGGCGUAAAGCGUGCGUAGGUGGUGGUUUAAGUCCGUUGUGAAAGCCCUGGGCUCAACCUGGGAAUUGCAGUGGAUACUGGAUCACUAGAGUGUGGUAGAGGGAUGCGGAAUUUCUGGUGUAGCAGUGAAAUGCGUAGAGAUCAGAAGGAACAUCCGUGGCGAAGGCGGCAUCCUGGGCCAACACUGACACUGAGGCACGAAAGCGUGGGGAGCAAACAGGAUUAGAAACCCUAGUAGUCC